rnacentral:rRNA from 1 species
UACGGGAGGCAGCAGUGGGGAAUAUUGCACAAUGGGGCGCAAGCCUGAUGCAGCCAUGCCGCGUGUAUGAAGAAGGCCUUCGGGUUGUAAAGUACUUUCAGCAGUGAGGAAGGUGGGUAUGUUAAUAGCAUACUCAUUUGACGUUAGCUGCAGAAGAAGCACCGGCUAACUCCGUGCCAGCAGCCGCGGUAAUACGGAGGGUGCGAGCGUUAAUCGGAAUUACUGGGCGUAAAGCGCAUGCAGGUGGUUUGUUAAGUCAGAUGUGAAAGCCCGGGGCUCAACCUCGGAAUUGCAUUUGAAACUGGCAAACUAGAGUACUGUAGAGGGGGUAGGAAUUUCAGGUGUAGCGGUGAAAUGCGUAGAGAUCUGAAGGAAUACCGGUGGCGAAGGCGGCCCCCUGGACAGAUACUGACACUCAGAUGCGAAAGCGUGGGGAGCAAACAGGAUUAGAUACCCUGGUAG